GACAGAGGCCCCAAGCGUUAGGCGGAAUCACUGGGCUUAAAGCGUGUGUAGGCGGAUCGUUAAGUGUCUUGUGAAAUCCCACGGCUCACCCGUGGAACUGCUGGGCAUACUGGCGAUCUUGGGCCAACUAGGGGCAGUCGGAACAAGCGGUGGAGCGGUGAAAUGCGUAGAUAUCGGAAGGAACACCAGUGGCGAAAGCGGCUUCCUGGUCCAGCACCGACGUUCAGGCACGAAAGCGUGGGGAGCAAACAGG
rnacentral:rRNA from 1 species